rnacentral:lncRNA from 1 species
GCCAGAGAUUCUUAAUCAUAUCAUAGAGUAUUCUCCCUCAAACGGUUUGAAGGUUAGAGAUCCCUUAUUGCGCAUUCACUUGCCUCCAUGGCUAAGUGGCUUAACCCUAACUAUGCCGUGGACACCUCUGACAGAGUGACUUUGACAUAGUCAAAGAUCAAGGACUUAACCACACGACAACUAUGAUGCCUUAGGUCAAAUGACUACUUUGCAUUAUCCCAACCAUGAAUUCUCAUGUGUUAUGAGUAUGAGAACUCAUCGAUCGUGUUCAGUGGACUCAUUCUCUAUUGAGCACCUACAUGCUUGUCUUGGUGUCAAUCACACCAAUGACUCGAGACCAGUCACUCUCCCUGAGAGAAGACACAACACGUAUUGAUCUUAACGGACUGUCAAUGCCCAAUUGGCAAUCCUAUGAUCAGGAACGUUUAGGAUAUGUAUACGAAAGAGAAUGGUCUCAUGAAUCUAACUUCUUUAAAUUACAUUCUCCUAAUUACAUAUUCCUUGGACUUAUCAUUCAAGCAUAUAACAUUUAUAUGAGACGGCUUAAAACAAUAAUCUUUGCCCUUGAUAUUAAACUAGAUUAGUUUAACAUGUGAAAUGUCCGUAAAGUAUCAUCAUAUGAUUGGUUUUAGGGAACAUUUCCAACAAUCUCCCACUUGCACUAGAGCCAAUCAGCUUGGUCAUCAAUAAUGAUACCUCUUCUGUAGUCAUUUCAAAAAAGGCUGAGUAGUAGGCCUGGACAAUGGAUAUCUAUAUGCUAUCCAUAAAAGCAACCUUGAGAAUAACGACGUCACCAUUAUACAUGAUUCUUAAUCAUGUGGUUUAGUCUCUCAUUUGAGUUCGGAUCAUGAUGAGACCUUGAUUCCCUGGCUUGAGCUAUCGCCCCAUUAGUGUCGUAGUGUCGGUACACUAGAGACACUUUCUGGUUGGAACCAAAUAGAGAGUUCAUAAAUGAACUUUCUCAUCCAAACAACAUUGUUGUAAGCUUCUUUAUGGCAAUAUAUUUUGCAUGCAUAAUGGAACACACUAAAGUCAUUACUUUUAAUGUUUCCAUCCAAAUAUCUCUUUAGUCAUAAUAAAGAGAUAUCUAAUUAUCUCUUCAUUCAUAAUGAAGAAACAUCCAAUGAUGGAUUAGAUUCAUAAUCUAAUACAUUUACGCUUCCAUUACGUUACUCUAAUUCUUCCUCAUUCUUGAGGAAUCCAUCCUUUAUUAUUUCUCAAAUACUUAAGGAUUCACUUGACAGUUGUCAUGGUUCUGAUCCUGGGCUUGCAUUGAUAUCGUCUUGUACCGAUCUUGGUACAACUCAUAUCAACGUUUUUCAUACAAUAUGAAAUACGUAAAUCACCUUUCUGCGUAUGCAUAAAGGAUUCUAUUUACGCAUUAUUUUUUUAGGAGUCAAAGGGUACGUUCCCUUUGAGAAGAGCUACCUCCUAGUCUCACUAGAGUUGUUCUUCUGAUUGAAGUUUAUCAUCAUAUGAGAAACUUCCUCGCAUCUUUUGUCUAUUAUUAGGGAUUGAUAUAAUUCAAUUAUAUCUUGAAAUCUAUCAUUGUAGAUUUCCAUCCCAUGUAUAUAGACUAUGUCUCCUAUAUCCAUUCUAUCUUUAUAGAAUGUUUAAAGUCAUAACUUUAACGAAGAAGUAUUCUUUUCAUUUCCAAAAUUAAUAUAUCAUAUAUGUGUAUAUAUAUAUUCAAAUUUAGGAACAUGAUUAACUCCCACUAAUCUUUUGUAAACCUAGUAAACAAAAGAUUCAUUUACAUCUUUAUGAGAAAUCAAACAAUUUGAUCUUUUCUCUCAUAAGACGCUUAUAGCUCUCACUAGCUUGCUAAGAUUCAUGGUGGAUGGAUCUCUACAACUUACAUGUCUUGUGAUUCAUAGUUUUAGACAUAUAUUAUCAAGACUAUCUUAAUAAUGGUUUCGGAAACCCAUAUUAUGUCCAAACAUUGAAUCACCAUUUAGUUGUAGCUAGCAAUCUUCGAAUUAAUUGAAACCAAGACUACGUUAAAGAUGGUUUCUUCAAAGUCAACCAAUCUCUUUGAUUGUAGUCACUUUAAGCUACCAAUUAGCUAUAAAGGUUUCAUUAUUUCGGGUCAAAUGGUACUUUACCUUUUCCUUGAGUAUAUGUCGUAUAUACACUCAAUGUAGUCAUAAGGGUUUUCAUUCUUAUUUCUUUCGAAUUAAGAGGUGUAACUCUAUGACAUAAUCAUAAGUUCAAACCAUUCAACUGAGACAGUUUAUAAAUCUUUCUCGACUACCUUGGAGCUUGUGGUAUAGGAACUGGGUUGUUAUAUUUGUUGAUCACUAUCUUGUCUCUCAAAGAACCCAUUCUUUGAGUUCUAUCCCUCGUUCAUUUGCUCUAUCUUAGGCAAAUCCUAGUGUAGGAU